CCAGGUAUCACCAGGUCACGGGAGAGCUCUCUCAGGACGAAACCUGCAAAGCGCGAUUUAGAAGCUAUACUAGGGAAAGAGGAUCAUAUGUUAGUACAGCGAAUUAUUGAAGAGAACAAGGCAAUCAUUGAAGAUGCUCAUGCUAAGCUUACUUCACAGGAGGAGAAGCUGAUUAAGAAGAUAAUGGAAGUUUCAAUGACUGGCAACUCUAUCGACUGCCUGGAUAUACUGACGAUCAUCGAGUCUUGCUGAGUGUUACCAUGGUAACACUCAUGUUGCCAUGGUAACACGUCAUGGUAACUAAUACCCAGUGCAGUUUAUGACUGAACAUCAUGCUGUUGCCAUGGUAACACAUGGUAACACAUGGUAAUUGGUAACAUAUGGUAACACAUGGAAACACAACAUCAUCCAUCGAAUUUCUUGUGCGAUUAGGAAGACGUUCCAAUGUCAGUGGUGUAAUGAUGAACUGAACUUUAAGAGUCAGAACUGUGUUGCUAUAGAAACUAAUAGCAACAAACGGUAGUAACUUGUCAGGACCAUAACAUGUUUCAUUUCGAUUUAUAUUUAAGUUACGAUCAAGACUUGUGAAUUUAAUCCGUGAUAUAUUUAAGUGAUUUAUAUUUUCAUUUUACCAUUUUGUACAUUUUUACCCUUGAUAAGUUUUCAUGUUGUUUUAGUGUCACGUGACCGAUUCCCGACCAAUCAGAGAGCUGUAAUGUCACGUGACUAAAAUGCAGCUCCCGUAGUUUUGUAGUUUCUGUGUUGAUAAAGGAGCAGGAUUUAAAUUCUAAUGUUUAAUUUUCUGGAAAAUCAUAAAUGUUAUAAAUUUGUUACGAUUCUUAAUUGAUAUUUUUUUGAUAUUUAUAGUAUGUCAUGAAUCAUUGAGAGGAAAGAGUAUUUCGUGUUACUAUGACGACUGUGAUACGUCCUGUAAUAGAGAGAUUGUUUCAAUUCACUCUGUUAUAUGUGUCAAUGAUCCGAGAGUUGAUUUAUAAUUUAUAAUUUCUGUUAAAGUUUAUACAAAAAAUUCCAUUUAAAAGAUUUUAAUCGAAUUUAAGCCCCUUCCAUUUGCAGUGUCUACCUCAAGAAACCACUAUUUACAAGUCUCCCUUUGUUAGACCUAUUCAUUCAUUAGAUUAACAAUGUAUCAUUAACAGUAGUGUUCAGGGCAUCGGUUCAGGGCAACAGUUAAUUAAAAGGAAGCAGUAUUUUGUGUCACAUGGAGAUUUAACUUAAA